UUGUGCCAGCAGCCGCGGUAAUGCGAAGGGGGCUAGCGUUGCUCGGAAUCACUGGGCGUAAAGGGUGCGUAGGCGGGUCUUUAAGUCAGGGGUGAAAUCCUGGAGCUCAACUCCAGAACUGCCUUUGAUACUGAGGAUCUUGAGUCCGGAAGAGGUGAGUGGAACUGCGAGUGUAGAGGUGAAAUUCGUAGAUAUUCGCAAGAACACCAGUGGCGAAGGCGGCUCACUGGUCCGGUACUGACGCUGAGGCACGAAAGCGUGGGGAGCAAACAGGAUUAGAU
rnacentral:rRNA from 1 species